GACGUAGGGGGCGAGCGUUGUCCGGAUUUAUUGGGCGUAAAGAGCUCGUAGGCGGUUCGACAAGUCGGGUGUGAAAACUCCGGGCUCAACCCGGAGACGCCACCCGAUACUGUCGUGACUGGAGUCCGGUAGGGGAGUGGGGAAUUCCUGGUGUAGCGGUGAAAUGCGCAGAUAUCAGGAGGAACACCGGUGGCGAAGGCGCCACUCUGGGCCGGUACUGACGCUGAGGAGCGAAAGCGUGGGUAGCAAACAGG
rnacentral:rRNA from 1 species